GUUCAGCUGACAAGUUUCAAAGAAGACGAAACGCUUGUCCUGAAU
rfam:Schistosoma mattheei strain Denwood, Zambia genome assembly, scaffold: SMTD_contig0010088